GCCGUUUCACAGAGGCUCCAACUUUUCAUUUGGAAAUAAAAUAGACGGUAAAAAACUCAGAAAGGGGAUUGGUUUUGUUUUCAAUAUCUUCAACUUUUCUCUCCCUCACUCAUUUCUUCUCUUUUUUAUUCACCGUCUAUAAAACCACCACAACUACUUCAUAAUAAAAAAAAGCUACCACAAACCGAAAUUUUUUCCUCACUGCUCCAACGCCCUUAACAACCUUCCACACCACUGCUCAUCUUCUUCCACCAACCAUGGCAUCCGCACCACCAUAAACAACCGUCUUCCAUCAUUUUCCAUUCAACUUAUAGAUCUUAUAUUCCGUCCAUCACCCUUCACCGUGAUAUAAUAACAAUAAAGUUCCAAGAAUCAAUAACAACACCUGCGAGAAUCACACUCAGAAACGACAUCAGACCUUCGUACCACUACCACCAUGAACUCACGCAAAUCUCGCCGAAGCUUUUAAACUACUCACCUGAAAUCAACAUCACAACAACAAUCGCAUUUGAACCGCAACAAGGAUCAUAGACUCGGUUGGUUUCACUUGUCGUUUCGAAAUCCGUUUGGUUUUCAUUUAUAGUUCGGUUUGGAUUAUGUUAUGUUGUUGUUUCUAUUUCUUCGAUUGCAUGUUAUUUUUAAAAUUUCUUUAAUUUUCUUCUAUUGGUGCUGAAUUGAUCAUGUUGCUUAUUUAGUAGUUACAUUUUGGUUGUCGGUUUGUGUCGAAUCUAGUGUAUAUGUAGUUUAUUCGUGUUGCCUUGUUCGUUUCGACUUCGUUGUUCCUGCUACACUUAUUUUUUUGUUUCAAUUUCAUUGAAUUUUUCUUUUGUUUUCUUCUCUUCUCUAAAAAUGUUAUUUUAAGUUCAUGCAAUGAAUCCCUGGAUGCAAUGAAGCUGGAUUAUCUAAAAGUUUAGCAUAACCCAGGCUACUUAAUUUCCGGUUUGUUUGAUAUUGCAUGUUAUUAUUAUUUCAUGAAUAUUGGGCAUUUUGAAUUUAUGUUGUGGUGAGAUAUUAAGGUUACCGUUUGUUUGUUUUUGUUCUAAUAAUAAUUAUAUGGUUGUUGUGGUUAAGUUAUGCACGGUAUGUUUAGCUCUCAAUAUAAUGAUUUAUAAGCCAUAAUGUUCGAACCAAAUACUUCAUGAAGCAAUUAGUUGCAAAUUAAUUUCAGGAAGAACAAAAAGAAUAGAAUGUGGGGGGAGGUUGUACCACUUUUGUAUCUUAUUUACUUUUGAUUGUUUUGCUUUCCAUUUCUUUAUAAUACAUAAGUUAAAAUCAUGAGUAAAAAAAAUAAAGUGUUCAGUAGGCUAACUCAUGUACAAAGUAUCAUUUUAUUUACUUGUUUUUCUUGUUUAAUUGAUUUUUAAACUAAUUUUGGAUAUUAAGAAUAAGUUUUGUUGUUGUUUCUGUUUGCUUAUUGUCGAGCUGGUGUUGUGUGAAUCGAACUUGUGAUCCGUGGAUACGGCAAUUUCAUGUUGUUAUGCCGCUAAAAUUUUGACAUAUUAAUAUGAUAUUUCGCUGUGUUAUGAUCUUGCAUAUGACAUUACUUGUUGUCAUUAUGCACAAACCGGCUUUGAGCAUAUUUCUCUCCGAUCAUCUUGCACUAAAUAUUUUCGUUUAUAUUUUUUAAUUCAAAUUAAUUAAUUAAUUAAAGUUUUG
rnacentral:lncRNA from 1 species